CCUACGGGUGGCAGCAGUGGGGAAUAUUGCACAAUGGGGGAAACCCUGAUGCAGCGACGCCGCGUGAGUGAAGAAGUAAUUCGUUAUGUAAAGCCCUAUUAGCAGGGAAGAAAAUGACGGUAUCUGAGUAAGAAGCCCCGGCUAACUACGUGCCAGCAGCCGCGGUAAUACGUAGGGGGCAAGCGUUAUCCGGAUUUACUGGGCGUAAAGGGAGCGCAGACGGCAGUGCAAGUCUGGUGUGAAAGCCCGGGGCCAAACCCCGGAACUGCUCUGGAAACUGUGCGGCUAGAGUACUGGAGGGGCAGGCGGAAUUCCUGGUGUAGCGGUAAAAUGCGUAGAGAUUAGGAGGAACACCAGUGGCGAAGGCGGCCUGCUGGACAGUAACUGACGUUGAGGCUCGAAAGCGUGGGGAGCAAACAGGAUUAGAUACCCCUGUAGUC
rnacentral:rRNA from 1 species